UACAGAGGUCCCAAGCGUUGUUCGGAUUCAUUGGGCGUAAAGGGUGCGUAGGCGGCGCGGUAAGUCGGGUGUGAAAUCUCGGAGCUUAACUCCGAAACUGCAUUUGGUACUGCCGUGCUUGAGGACUGGAGAGGAGACUGGAAUUUACGGUGUAGCGGUGAAAUGCGUAGAUAUCGUAAGGAAGACCAGUGGCGAAGGCGGGUCUCUGGACAGUUCCUGACGCUGAGGCACGAAAGCGUGGGGAGCGAACGGG
rnacentral:rRNA from 1 species